AGAAUCAACGCUGGCGGCGUGCCUAACACAUGCAAGUCGAACGAGAAAGUGGAGCAAUCCAUGAGUAAAGUGGCGCACGGGUGAGUAACACGUGACUAACCUACCCUUGAGUGGGGGAUAAACCUAGAGAAAUCUGGGCUAAUACCGCAUAAUACCUUCGGGUCAAAGGAGCAAUUCGCUUAAGGAGGGGGUCGCGGCCGAUUAGUUAGUUGGCGGGGUAAUGGCCCACCAAGACUGUGAUCGGUAUCCGGCCUGAGAGGGCGCACGGACACACUGGAACUGAAACACGGUCCAGACUCCUACGGGAGGCAGCAGUGGGGAAUUUUGCGCAAUGGGGGAAACCCUGACGCAGCAACGCCGCGUGGAGGAUGAAGCCCCUUGGGGCGUAAACUCCUUUCGAUCGGGAAGAUAAUGACGGUACCGAGAGAAGAAGCCCCGGCUAACUUCGUGCCAGCAGCCGC
rnacentral:rRNA from 1 species